rnacentral:rRNA from 1 species
UAGGGAAUCUUCGGCAAUGGGGGCAACCCUGACCGAGCAACGCCGCGUGAGUGAAGAAGGUUUUCGGAUCGUAAAGCUCUGUUGUAAGAGAAGAACGUGUGUGAGAGUGGAAAGUUCACACAGUGACGGUAACUUACCAGAAAGGGACGGCUAACUACGUGCCAGCAGCCGCGGUAAUACGUAGGUCCCGAGCGUUGUCCGGAUUUAUUGGGCGUAAAGCGAGCGCAGGCGGUUUAAUAAGUCUGAAGUCAAAGGCAGUGGCUUAACCAUUGUUCGCUUUGGAAACUGUUAAACUGGAGUGCAGAAGGGGAGAGUGGAAUUCCAUGUGUAGCGGUGAAAUGCGUAGAUAUAUGGAGGAACACCGGUGGCGAAAGCGGCUCUCUGGUCUGUAACUGACGCUGAGGCUCGAAAGCGUGGGGAGCAAACAGG